AUUAAAUACUUCUCUCAACGAGUUAACACCAGGAGUACGAGCGGCUGAACCGGCAGCAGCAACGUCUUCGGGCUCAAGAAAGUCAUAGGUAAAUGGGUUUUCGCGUUGAGCAGUGUUAGGAGCAUCGGUGGCAGGAAAGGUAGGUUCCCGAGAGCCCGAAAUCCAUGGAUGGGCUAAAAAUUGAUGAAUGUCGUAACGAGAUUCCGGGUCGACAG